UACGGAGGGUGCAAGCGUUAUCCGGAUUUACUGGGUUUAAAGGGUGCGCAGGCGGAUAUGUAAGUCAGUGGUGAAAUCUCCGGGCUUAACCCGGAAACUGCCGUUGAUACUAUAUAUCUUGAAUGCUGUGGAGGUAAGCAGAAUAUGUCAUGUAGCGGUGAAAUGCUUAGAGAUGACAUAGAAUACCUAUUGCGAAGGCAGCUUACUACGCAGAUAUUGACGCUCAUGCACGAAAGCGUGGGGAUCAAACAGG
rnacentral:rRNA from 2 species